rnacentral:rRNA from 1 species
CAAACUGAAGAUGGCGACCGGCGCACGGGUGAGUAACACGUAUCCAACCUGCCGAUAACUCCGGAAUAGCCUUUCGAAAGAAAGAUUAAUACCGGAUAGUAUACGAAUAUCGCAUGAUAUUUUUAUUAAAGAAUUUCGGUUAUCGAUGGGGAUGCGUUCCAUUGGUUUGUUGGCGGGGUAACGGCCCACCAAGACUACGAUGGAUAGGGGUUCUGAGAGGAAGGUCCCCCACAUUGGAACUGAGACACGGUCCAA